GGCCUGGUGGUCUAGGGGUAUGAUUCUCGCUUUGGGUGCGAGAGGUCCCGGGUUCAAAUCCCGGUCAGGCCC
rnacentral:tRNA from 1 species